AGCGAACGCUGGCGGCAGGCCUAACACAUGCAAGUCGAACGAACCUUUCGGGGUUAGUGGCGGACGGGUGAGUAACACGUGGGAACGUGCCUUUAGGUUCGGAAUAACUCAGGGAAACUUGUGCUAAUACCGAAUGUGCCCUUCGGGGGAAAGAUUUAUCGCCUUUAGAGCGGCCCGCGUCUGAUUAGCUAGUUGGUUGAGGUAAUGGCUCACCAAGGCGACGAUCAGUAGCUGGUCUGAGAGGAUGAUCAGCCACAUUGGGACUGAGACACGGCCCAAAUUCCUACGGGAGGCAGCAGUGGGGAAUCUUGCGCAAUGGGCGAAAGCCUGACGCAGCCAUGCCGCGUGAAUGAUGAAGGUCUUAGGAUUGUAAAAUUCUUUCACCGGGGACGAUAAUGACGGUACCCGGAGAAGAAGCCCCGGCUAACUUCGUG
rnacentral:rRNA from 1 species